CAUGUGCUUCUGUGGACAGAGCUCCCCGUUUCCAUCCCUCAGGCCGUUGGGCAUCUCAGAUAGUGGCAGAGUAGGUGGCACCCCACAAGGGCUGAGGUGCAUCCAGGCUCCGGGCGUGGUAGCAGAAGCCCCAGGAGAUACUGCCCCUGCUGCCAUGAACUCUCUGUGUGUGCGCAAGGGAAGGACUCGUGUGUCUGAAAACCCUCGUGUGAGCGAGCAGUGAGCCCCCGCCAGGGCACCACCGACUCUUGGCCAACUGACCAUCCGUCAGGACCCCAGAGGCUAUUUUCCAGCGCUGCUAUGCAGCAUGUCAUUCCCAGUCUGUCUGUACAUCCGGGGUUGCCCCAUCCCAGGGACAGAAUCCGGCACUUCCCCUUGUUGAACUUCCUCUGGUGGAUGAUUGCCCAAACCUCUGAUUUGAAGUCUCUCUGCAGGGUCUCCCUCUUCCAUGAGGCCCUAGAGUGUCACAAUGGUCCCUUGAUUCCCUUGGAAUCUGCAGUGUUCAGUGUUCCAUUUGUUACAUGAGGCCCCAUAUUGUCACCACGGCACUGAAAUGAGAGAGGAUCUCCUUUCUAAACAACUUAGGGAAUCAGAAGUUUUUCUUAGACAAAAAUCCUAAUCAACAAAGGGAUUUGCUUACUUGGCAGGUAAAGAAAUGAACGCUAGAUGGCAGUCUUGCUCCACGAAUACAAUCCCAGAUGCUAUUUGACCCCAAAAUCA